GACGAACGCUGGCGGCGUGCUUAACACAUGCAAGUCGAACGAAGUGGCGAACGGGUGCGUAAUCCGUGGGUAACCCGCCCUCCUUUUUGGGAUAAGCCUUGGGAACCGGGUCUAGUAUCGCACUGAGGGGGAUGGGCUCGUGGCCUAUCAGCUGGUGGGUGGGGUGAUGGCGUACCAAGGGUGUGACGGGUAGCCGGCCGGAGAGGGUGAACGGCCACAUGGGGAAUGAGCAACGGCCCAGAGUCCUACGGGAGGGAGCAGUGGGGGAUAGUGCACAAUGGGCGAAAGCCGGAUGCAGCGACGCCGCGGGGGGGAUGAAGGCUUGAGGGUUGUAACCCUUUUUCGCUAGCGAACGGGUAGGUGGAGAAGAAGCGCCGGGUAACUACGUGCCAGCAGCCGCGGUAAUAC
rnacentral:rRNA from 1 species